UGGGGAAUCUUGCGCAAUGGGCGAAAGCCUGACGCAGCAACGCCGCGUGCGGGAAGAAGGCUUUCGGGCUGUAAACCGCUUUCAGCAGGAGCGAAAAUGACGGUACCUGCAGAAGAAGGAGCGGCCAACUAUGUG
rnacentral:rRNA from 1 species